AACGAACGCUGGCGGCAUGCCUAAUACAUGCAAGUCGAACGAGAUCUUCGGAUCUAGUGGCGCACGGGUGCGUAACGCGUGGGAAUCUGCCCUUGGGUUCGGAAUAACAGCGGGGAACUGCUGCUAAUACCGGAUGAUGACGUAAGUCCAAAGAUUUAUCGCCCAGGGAUGAGCCCGCGUAGGAUUAGGUAGUUGGUGGGGUAAAGGCCUACCAAGCCUACGAUCCUUAGCUGGUCUGAGAGGAUGAUCAGCCACACUGGGACUGAGACACGGCCCAGACUCCUACGGGAGGCAGCAGUAGGGAAUAUUGGACAAUGGGGGCAACCCUGCUCCAGCAAUGCCGCGUGAGUGAUGAAGGCCUUAGGGUUGUAAAGCUCUUUUACCCGGGAUGAUAAUGACAGUACCGGGAGAAUAAGCCCCGGCUAACUCCGUGCCAGCCGCCGCAGUAA
rnacentral:rRNA from 1 species